rnacentral:tRNA from 1 species
GCCUGGGUGGCUCAAUGGUUGAGCGUCUGACUUUGGCUCAGGUCAUGAUCCUGGGGUCAAGUCCCACAUCGGGCU